rnacentral:sRNA from 1 species
AGUUGCACGCUGAGCCGCGGACACCAUGCAGUCAGAUGAUGUUAUCUGGGAUACACUAGGAAACAAGCAAUUUUGUUCCUUCAAAAUAAGAACCAAGACUCAGAGCUUCUGCCGAAAUGAAUAUAGCCUGACUGGACUGUGUAAUCGGUCAUCCUGUCCCCUGGCAAAUAGUCAGUAUGCCACUAUUAAAGAAGAGAAAGGACAGUGCUACUUGUAUAUGAAGGUUAUAGAGCGAGCAGCUUUUCCUCGGCGUCUCUGGGAACGGGUCCGGCUUAGUAAAAACUAUGAGAAAGCACUGGAGCAAAUAGAUGAAAAUCUGAUUUACUGGCCCCGUUUCAUUCGACACAAAUGUAAGCAGAGAUUCACCAAGAUCACCCAAUACCUAAUUCGAAUUAGAAAACUUACACUAAAGCGACAGUAAGUAUGCGGAUCAUUCAUUAUUUUUAAAUCUCUCUUUUUAUGGAGCUUGUUUUGAAGUUGAGAAAUUGUGAAACUUCGGGGCUUUCUAUUCAACUUUGUGGAGUCUGUUAUGAUGUACUAAAGAGAAACUUUAGCUUUGACUAAAGGUG